GACAGAGGAUGCAAGCGUUAUCCGGAAUGAUUGGGCGUAAAGCGUCUGUAGGUGGCUUUUUAAGUCCGCCGUCAAAUCCCAGGGCUCAACCCUGGACAGGCGGUGGAAACUACCAAGCUGGAGUACGGUAGGGGCAGGAGGGAAUUUCCGGUGGAGCGGUGAAAUGCGUAGAUAUCGAGAGGAAUACCAACGGCGAAGGCAGGUCACUGGGCAGUUACUGACACUGAGGCACGAAGGCCAGGGGAGCAAACGGG
rnacentral:rRNA from 1 species